UGGGGAAUUUUGGACAAUGGGCGAAAGCCUGAUCCAGCAAUGCCGCGUGUGUGAAGAAGGCCUUCGGGUUGUAAAGCACUUUUGUCCGGAAAGAAAUCCUCUGGGUUAAUACCUCGGGGGGAUGACGGUACCGGAAGAAUAAGCACCGGCUAACUACGUGCCAGCAGCCGCGGUAAUACGUAGGGUGCAAGCGUUAAUCGGAAUUACUGGGCGUAAAGCGUGCGCAGGCGGUUUUGUAAGACGGAUGUGAAAUCCCCGGGCUUAACCUGGGAACUGCAUUCGUGACUGCAAGGCUAGAGUAUGGCAGAGGGGGGUAGAAUUCCACGUGUAGCAGUGAAAUGCGUAGAGAUGUGGAGGAAUACCGAUGGCGAAGGCAGCCCCCUGGGCCAAUACUGACGCUCAUGCACGAAAGCGUGGGGAGCAAACAGGAUUCAGAUACCCUGGUAGUCCACGCCCUAAACGAUGUCAACUAGUUGUUGGGGAUUCAUUUCCUUAGUAACGUAGCUAACGCGUGAAGUUGACCGCCUGGGGAGUACGGUCGCAAGAUUAAAACUCAAAGGAAUUGACGGGG
rnacentral:rRNA from 1 species